rnacentral:rRNA from 1 species
UACGGGGGGGGGCAAGCGUUGUUCGGAAUUACUGGGCGUAAAGGGCUCGUAGGUGGCCAACUAAGUCAGACGUGAAAUCCCUCAGCUUAACUGGGGAACUGCGUCUGAUACUGGAUGGCUUGAGUUUGGGAGAGGGAUGCGGAAUUCCACGUGUAGCAGUGAAAUGCGUAGAGAUGUGGAGGAACACCGAUGGCGAAGGCAGCCCCCCUGGGUCAAGAUUGACGCUCAUGCACGAAAGCGUGGGGAGCAAACAGG